AGGGCCGCUACCACGCGAGUGGAUGCCAAUCCCCAAAACCUCUCUCAGUUCGGACUGGAGUCUGCAACCCGACUCCACGAAGCUGGAUUCGCUAGUAAUCGCGCAUCAGCCACGGCGCGGUGAAUACGUUCCCGGGCCUUGUACACACCGCCCGUCAAGCCAUGGGAGCCGGGGGUACCUGAAGUGCGUAACCGCGAGGAGCGCCCUAGGGUAAAACUGGUGACUGGGGCUAAGUCGUAACAAGGUACC
rnacentral:rRNA from 1 species